GUGCUGAUUUGAGCUCCUAGCCAGUUCACCCUGCAGUCAACAAUCAACUUGAGCUGACAGAAGAGUUAGGAUUUGUGGGUGAAUGGAUGUAAGGAAGGGACAACACUGACAACCUCUGCAGUGAAGGGACAACACCGACAACCUCUGCAGUGAAGAUAAACCCAGUGAAGCUAGAUGGCAUUCAAGAAAAGAGGUCUUAGGCUUGAAAUCACAGAGCAGAAUGUAAGACUUGAUAUUUUUUUAACAGGGAGCUGAUGUAUGUGGAAAGCAGGUGCUGGUUACAGGCACACAUGGUGACAGUCCAGGUUGGCAGAACCAUCUCUCAAAAUCACAAUUGCUGUGCUUAAACCUGCCUGGGAGUAUCAGCCCCAACUGGAUUCCCAUCACAAGGGCUUACUUCCAGAAAAUGAUAUUCCUGGGACAGUAUAAAUCCCUACAUGAAGAUCACUCACCUUAACUGCUUGUACUGGUAUAAUUUUACUUGCCUACAUACACAAAUGAACAGAAAGAUGUCACUUGGGGUUUGAAAACAGCUUAAAUCAACUGCAGUAGUAUGGAAAAUGAACCACUCACUAAAGUCAGAAAACGACAAGAGAAGGGACUUAAACAGGUGGAGGAAAGGUUGAUUUCAGGUAGACUGAAGGAGUAGAAGAGAGAAGAGUAUUCAGGUAGCCAGUAGAGCAUAGAGAAUGAAACAGAGAGGACUAGGGCAGUGUAAAGCAGUCUCUGACUACAGUAAGUCCAAGGUCACUGAAUAGCAAAAAAAAGAAUUACAAUAGGUGAAACAAAGGACUUCAGGACACAAAAAUGGUUGCUAGAACAACUGCUGAACUGCUGGUUGCACUGAGGGUACAACCGAGCACAAAACCGCCAUGAAGAACAGAUGUAAUUGGGAGAAGCUGAUAAAAGCAAGAUCAAGAAUGCGAUGAAAAUCAGCUGCACACUUAUGGAGAUGAGAAGGGAGAGCGUUUCUAGAGUAAUUAUUAAAACACAGUAAUCUCAACAUGGUUUUGUGAAAAAGUUCUUCACUGCCCUUGUACUUCAGAGCUCACAAAGGAGAAAAGCAGAUAAUAAAAGGUCAUAUUUACAAGAAAGUCAGCAUUUGGUAUGUGUAACAAUAGUUUAUAAUAAAUUUAAGAGGCAUCAAAACUAAGGGUUUAAGCAAACUGCAUCAGAAUCACAGCUUCUUAGUACAUGCCUCCUAAAUGAGCACCUCCAGAUGAACUUGCACUUCUUGAAUUCUGGCACAAUGCAUAUUCUAAACUGUUUCUGGUUCACUAACUUUCCAAAAUGACAUUUAAUUUGUAAUUGCAUGACUUAGAAAUUAUUCUUAUGUUUCUGUCAUUUUUCAUUUUUCCCCCUCUUUACUAAUAGAUCAAAUGUCAAUAAAAUCAUGCUGAUAUAAUGUAAUGAAUUAUAUAUAAUUUUAAUAUGUACACUUAAAUUAGCAACAUCCAUGCCUAAUUACAAUUUUUGUUUUUAAAAUCUUUAAAAAUAGACUCUAGUAAACAUCAUGGGAUUUAUAACAGCCUCUGUAAUUAUUUUCUCUGAAUUAUUUUUAUUGUUCAUCUGACCAUAAUCUUGUCUCUUAAAAUUAUAUAUAUUCGACAAUCAAAACAAGCUGCUAAAUAGCUCUGAACUUUGAUCUAUACCCAUAAAUAAAUAAAUAAAUUCCAAGUGUUCUUC